UCAAUUAAGAGAAUUUCUAAAGUGAGAGGAAUUAGAUGUCUGGGAAAAAUAUGACAAAACUUAUGUUGGUAAUAAUUGAGUUGAUUAUCCUCGUGAUACUCAAAGUGCAUGCUAAUGAUCCUACCACUCCCUCUUCUGCCCCACAACACUACUAACCGGUCUUCAUCUCUUCCAACUUGACAAUGCAGAUGUGAGUUAUAUUGAUCAUUGCAUUGAAAGCACUUUGAAAAAGUGUAAAUUCCAUGAACCAUUUGCUACAACUUAUUUUCUUCUUAAAUGCCUUUUCCAAAGUCCAAUGCAUCCUAAAGAUUUUCCUAUCAGCAUUGAUGAUAUGAUAGUAGAUUGCUAUAAGCAUUGUUUUAUGAAUCUGAAACUUCAAGGCAAACCUCAUGCACGUUGUCUAGUACAAUGCUAUGAAGAGGAAACCAAGAAGCAUAAUACGAAGAAUUGAUAAGCUUCGAGUUUGGUUGGUGAGUGAGAUCUUCAAUAUAUUUGGAUAUAUAAAAACUCGUAGUUUUCUUGAUUAUGCUUUAGUGAUUUGGACUGUUAUAAGGGGCUCGAGGGACCUAUGCUUUGUUGGUUUACCUUGUUAUGUCAUUUUUGUUUUGGUAUAUGAUAUGAAACGUAUUUUCCAAAAGAUUGGACUUUCCUUUGUAGUGUUCAUGUGUUACUAAAUGCCGAGGCCCAAAACCUUUUGGCUUCUAUGUUGUGAGGAAAAAUGUUAUGACAUGAAUGAUCAAUUGAAGAGUAAGACUUUGUAACAUUUAUAUUUAAUGAAAUGACGUUAUAGUUCAUGAGGUU